AUUACACAUACUUGAAUGCAAUAAUUGGAUUUUUCGCACAAAUUCAUAGAGAAUAUUAGGAAGAGUGAUGAACAGAGAGUGUAAAUCGGAGAAUCGAGAGGGAAAUAGAAAAGAAAACGCGUUGAUGGGCCCCACAUGACGUGAAGGUGGUACUCCCUCCGUGUUUUAAAAAGUGUUACACUUGCCUAAUCCGAUCGUGUUUUAACAAUUGAUAUUUUGAAGAUUUGAAGGUGGGUGGUAAAUUUUAAAAAAAAAUCAUUGGGGGCGGUAAUUCCUAAAAAGUGAUGUAUUGAUAGUAGUAAUUCCUACUGUAUUCAUAUUUUGUAUUUUUUAACUUGUUUGUAGUUUGUUUAUUAUUAAAUGUUCAUAUUAUUAUAAGUGACUAAUUGGGUUUGGGCGUGCAUUUUUUACGGGCUUGGUCAAGCACUUUUCUUAUGAGGAGAUUAAGGCAUCUUUUAGAAAGCUUGCUAAAGAAACGCACCCUGACCUCGUUUCUUCUGCGGAUACUGAUACUGCUGAUUCGAAACGUUUCAUCCAAAUUCUCGCUGCUUAUGAGGAAAUUUUCAAGCUGUAAAGAAAGCUCUCUUGUCUGUUUCAAGUUGUCUCCAAGAGCACACCAAAGGUGACAUGUUUGAAGUACCAUGGUUGUACUUUUGAAGUGGUGAAAGUAUGACUGACAAGCUAAGGUUCUUUCUGAUCCAAUUCGAUCCCAAUUCUCUUGAUUUUGUUAUAGACUAAAUCAUCAGGCUUGUAUUUCUGAUUUAACAAGGCUAAUAAAUAAAGAUGAAAGCUUAAAAUUUGAUUAAUAAUGGCUAAUAACGUUACAAAGAGAUAGGUUAAUAGCUCUAGGUCAUCACUCUCUUUGAUAACAUUAGGGUAUUACUCUCUUAGUAACUUGAGGUUACCAUUCUCUCAACAAUUUUCCUCACAAUUCACAUAAUUUCUACUGGCUUCUUACUACUACUUAUAUACUCAAGCUACCAAUUACAAAAGGUUAACCUAACAUUGAUUGGUGUUUGUCUUCUUCAGCACAUUAGCAAUUCAUAAAUCACACCCAUGUUGCCACUUUCUUAAGUGUUUCCUUAAUGACCCUUGUCUUCAUGUGCUGAAGAGUAGCAGUUGCCAACUGCUGUGGUUGAUUCUUGUCCCCUCUUCCACUUUACUUCCUUGUGUACACCCACAAUGGUGGCUUGGUGGAGGUGUGAGGAUUGUAAUCAUUUUCUGGAAUUUGGAGAUAGCGGAAGCUAUUAGAAAGCUUGGGCCUGAGGCCUGACUAUUCUUAAAGGCACGGCGGACAAUCACAGAGACAAGAAUAUGAAUAAAUUGAGCUGUAUAGACCUUGAUCGGGUACAAUUUGGUGUUACCUUUGAAGAUAUCAAACCCAAAUCAGCAACACAUCAUCGACAACCGCAACAAUGGAAAGAGGACAAAGCAACGGUGGCUGACCUGUGGGCGCGAUCAGGAGGAGCCGCAACAACGUCUAAGAAAAAGACGGAACAAGGACAGUGAAUAUGAAAGCAAGAAAUACAACACCUUAAAUUAAAUAAGCUCCUGUUUGAAGGAAUAUCGCUGAAUAUGGGUAUUAUUGCUGCUAGUUUUUUGAAGCUUGUUUGUGAUUACUCGCUGUAUGAGACUAGAGUAUUCAAUACCCACUUGAAAAAGAUGCUACAUGGAGCUGCCACCUGAAGGUAUAAUUAAAAUAAAUGUUGACGCUCACUUUGGUGCUGGCACAAGUGGUGGUCUAGGUGCUGUUGCGAGGGAUCACUUUGGCCGCAUAUUAUGGGCUGCGGAUAAGAAGACUCCUAUGGACUGGAAUGUGGAAUUGGCGGAGGUGGCUGCUGUUAGGGUGUCAAAUGGCUAAGAGAUUGGGUUACGAAAGUGUAUGAUCAGGAGUCAAAAGGGAGUAGGGGAAGGGUAAUCAACACCAUUAGAGGGUCUGCUGCUAGAUGGUCUCCUAUAAGGCUUAUUUACGAUGAUGUACGUAGAAUAGUUAUGUCUUUUAAUACUUGUAUAUUUUCUCAUGUAAAAAGAGCAUAUAAUUAAUUAUACGGUUGCCCAUUUAGUGGCUAGGUGGGACACUAGUAAGUGCUCCGAGAAAGUUUGUAUGGGUUCUUUCCCCUAAGGUCUUCUAUCCUUCGCAGAACUUGACUUAAAUUAAUGAAAUGCUCUAAGUCAGUGCUUGGUA